GUACACGCUGUGACUAGCAUAUCAAUAAGCGGAGGAAAAGAAACUAACAAGGAUUCCCUCAGUAACGGCGAGUGAAGCGGGAAGAGCUCAAAUUUGAAAUCUUGAAAGGUCACCUUUCACGAAUUGUAGUUUAAAGAAGUGUUUUCUGUUACGAUCGUAAUAUAAGUUCUUUGGAAUAGGACAUCACAGAGGGUGAGAAUCCCGUCUAUGAUUGCGAUUUGUAGCUUUGUGAUACACUUUCAAAGAGUCGGGUUGUUUGGGAAUGCAGCCCAAAACGGGAGGUAAAUUUCUUCUAAGGCUAAAUAUUGGCGAGAGACCGAUAGCGAACAAGUACCGUGAGGGAAAGAUGAAAAGAACUUUGAAAAGAGAGUUAAAUAGUACGUGAAAUUGUCAAAAGGGAAGCGUUUGACACCAGUGUUGUUUUCUGAAAAUCAACCUCUGUUAGCUUUAUGCAUGUUUGUUUAGACCUAAUCAGCUAUCUUGCAUGUUCUAUUGUUUGCAGUGGUGCACUUUUCAGUUUACAGGUCAACAUCAGUUUUUUUUACCGUAAAAAAGUUAAAGAAAGGUAGCUCAUGGCUCCGGUCGUGAGUGUUAUAGUCUUUUUCCUAUGCGGUAGGAGAGACUGAGGUCUGCAGUGUAGGCUAUUUGGCUAGAUACUCAGGUGCUAUGUGAUACCAUUUCAUAAACAACUUGUUGAUUAUGUUUUGUCUAUUGCAUACUCGCUUGUACUAUCAUACCUACGCUUAGGAUGUUGAACUACUGAGACAUAGA
rnacentral:rRNA from 1 species